GACGUAGGUGACAAGCGUUGUCCGGAUUUACUGGGCGUAAAGAGCGCGCAGGCGGUCGAUCAAGUCGAGUGUGAAAGCCCCCGGCUCAACUGGGGAGGGGCAUUCGAUACUGAUCGACUCGAAGGCAGGAGAGGGUAGUGGAAUUCCCGGUGUAGUGGUGAAAUGCGUAGAUAUCGGGAGGAACACCAGUGGCGAAGGCGACUACCUGGCCUGUUCUUGACGCUGAGGCGCGAAAGCUAGGGGAGCAAACGGG
rnacentral:rRNA from 1 species